AGGGAAGAAACUGUUUAGUCAUAAUACGGCUAUUCACUGACGGUACCUCCAGAGGAAGCACCGGCUAACUCCGCGCCAGCAGCCGCAGUAAUACGGAGGGUGCGAGCGUUAAUCGGAAUCACUGGGCGUAAGGCGUGCGUAGGCGGCGCGGUAAGUCAGACGUGAAAGCCCUCGGCUCAACCGAGGAAUUGCGUUUGAAACUGCUGUGCUUGAGUCUCGGAGAGGUUGGCGGAAUUCCAGGUGUAGGAGUGAAAUCCGUAGAUAUCUGGAGGAACACCGGUGGCGAAGGCGGCCAACUGGACGAGUACUGACGCUGAGGUACGAAAGCGUGGGGAGCAAACAGGAUUAGAUACCCUGGUAGUCCACGCCGUAAACGAUGGAUAUUAGGUGUCGGGGGUAACCCUUCGGUGCCGCAGUCUACACGCGUUAAAUAUCCCGCCUGGGGAGUAC
rnacentral:rRNA from 1 species